CCUACGGGAGGCAGCAGUGGGGAAUAUUGCACAAUGGGGGAAACCCUGAUGCAGCGACGCCGCGUGAGUGAAGAAGGACUUCGUUAUGUAAAACUCUAUCAGCAGGGAAGAAAAUGACGGUACGUGAGUAAGAACCUCUGGCUAACUACGUGCCAGCAGCCGCGGUCAUACGUAGGGGGCAAGCGUUAUCCGGUUUUACUGGGUGUAAAGGGAGCGUAGACGGGAGUGCAAGUCUGGAGUGAAAGGCGGGGGCUCAACCUCCGGACUGCUCUGGAAACUGGACGGCUUGAGUGCAGGAGAGGAAAGUGGAAUUCCUGGUGUAGCGGUGAAAUGCGUAGAUAUUAGGAGGAACACCAGUGGCGAAGGCGGCUUACUGGACUGUAACUGACGUUGAGGCUCGAAAGCGUGGGGAGCAAACAGGAUUAGAUACCCCAGUAGUC
rnacentral:rRNA from 1 species